CCCGCCCGAGCCCGGGGAAGAGGAGACAAGGAGGCGCCGCCGCCCCCUCCUCCCGGCUGCGCCCGCAACAUGCCCGCCGCGGAGCCGAGCGCCGUCCUCCUCCAGGAGCUCGCGGCGGCGACGACGCUGCGGGCCACCGGGCCGCGGCUGCGAGGGUAGCGGGGCCGGAGUCGGCACCGAGGCGCCGCGAGGCGGGCGGAGCUGGGGAGCAGCGGCGGCAUCCUCCGCGGCGCGGCGGGCGGCGGCCCUGCUGCCCCGGCGCGUCCAUGGCCCGAAAGGAAGGAGAAUGCGAGCUGCACUGGCCGCCGGCCGCCGCCGCGUGCUCGGCGCCCCCCGGAGCUGCUCGCGUCGGCGCCGUCGCCCCCCAGCUGCGGGCGCCCGGCCGCUGGCUGCGCUAGGAGCAGCAGCCGCCCGUCGCCGAGCGCUGGUGGGAAGGAAGGAGCCAGAGGGCUCGGGAGACUGGCGCCCGCCUGGGCGCAGCGCGGCAUGUAGCUGCGGGCUCCAGCGCCCGCGCGAGGUUGUCGGCCCGGGGCCCCGCCAUGGCUGGGAAGGACAGUGGGAACCUGAAGACGGUGAGGCUGUGGCGGGACGCCGCCCUGCGCGCCAGGAAGCUGCGGAGCAACCUGCGCCAGCUCACUCUCAGCGCGGCCGGGGGCUGCCCGGCGGCCGGAGCUGAGCCGCUCGACUCCCCCGAUGCCCCCCAGCUCGUGCUGCCCGCCAACAUCGGGGACAUUGAGGUGCUGAACCUGGGGAACAACGGCCUGGAGGAGGUGCCCGACGGGCUGGGGUCGGCGCUGGGCAGCCUGCGCGUCCUGGUUCUGCGCAGAAACCGCUUUGUCCGGAUGCCCUCUGCGGUGGCCGAGUUGGGCCACCACCUAACCGAGCUGGAUGUGAGCCACAACCGGCUGACUGUCCUGGGCGUGGAGGUGGUGAGUGCCCUGCGGGAGCUGCGCAAGCUCAACCUCGGCCACAACCAGCUGCCCGCCCUGCCUGCCCAGCUGGGUGCCCUUGUCCACCUGGAGGAGCUGGAUGUCAGCUUCAACCGGCUGGCACACCUGCCUGACUCCUUCUCCUGCCUGUACCGCCUGCGCACCCUCGACGUGGACCACAACCAGCUCACUGCUUUUCCCCGGCAGCUGCUGCAGCUGGCGGCCCUAGAGGAGUUGGAUGUGUCCAGCAACCGGCUGCAGGGCCUACCUGAGGAUAUCAGUGCCCUGCGUGCCCUCAAGAUCCUCUGGCUGAGUGGGGCUGAGCUUGGCACCCUGCCCAGCGGCUUCUGCGAGCUGGCCAGCCUGGAGAGCCUUAUGCUGGACAACAACGGGCUGCAGGCUCUGCCCACCCAGUUCAGCUGCCUGCAGCGGCUCAAAAUGCUCAACCUCUCCUCCAACCUCUUUGAGGAGUUCCCUGCCGCGCUACUGCCCCUGGCUGGUCUGGAGGAGCUCUACCUUAGUCGCAACCAGCUCACCUCAGUGCCAUCCCUUAUCUCGGGGCUGGGCCGGCUUCUCACUCUGUGGCUAGAUAAUAACCGGAUCCGCUACCUGCCGGACUCAAUUGUGCAGCUGACUGGCCUGGAAGAGCUAGUGCUUCAAGGAAACCAGAUCGCUGUGCUGCCAGACAACUUCGGCCAGCUCUCCCGGGUGGGCCUGUGGAAGGUCAAGGACAACCCACUGAUCCAGCCCCCCUAUGAGGUCUGUAUGAAGGGGAUCCCCUACAUUGCAGCCUACCAGAAGGAGCUGGCUCAUUCCCAGCCAGCUGUGCAGCCCCGUCUCAAGCUGCUGCUGCUGGGCCACAAGGCUGCCGGGAAGACCUCGCUCCGCCACUGCCUCACCGAGGAGAGAGUGGAGGGAAGCCGAGGCGGAGGGGACAGGGAAAGGAGCUACCCACCUUCCCCGCCUCCUGUGAGCAAGGGCAUUGAUGUGACAAGCUGGACGGCUGAUGCUUCCCGGGGCCUGCGGUUCAUCGUGUAUGAUUUAGCUGGUGAUGAAAGUUACGAGGUGAUCCAGCCCUUCUUCCUCUCCCCAGGGGCCCUUUAUGUGCUGGUGGUGAACUUGGCCACCUACGAGCCACUCCGCUUUCCCACCACCGUGGGCUCCUUCUUGCAUCGGGUGGGGGCCCGGGUGCCUCAUGCUGUGGUGUGCAUUGUGGGCACGCACGCUGACCUGUGUGGGGAGCGGGAGCUGGAGGAGAAGUGUCUGGACAUCCACCGCCAGAUCGCCCUGCAGGAGAAGCACAAUGCCGAGGGGCUGAGCCAUCUGGCCCAGGUGGUGGACGAGGCGCUGGCCCGGGACUUUGAGUUGCGCUCUACUAGCCCCCAUGCUGCCUACUAUGGUGUUUCAGACAAGAACCUUCGGCGGCGUAAGGCCCAUUUUCAGUACCUGCUCAACCACCGGCUGCAGAUUCUGUCCCCAGUGUUGCCUGUCAGCUGCCGGGACCCCCGCCAAUUAAAACGCCUUCGGGACAAACUGCUCUCAGUAGCUGAGCACCGGGAAAUCUUCCCCAACUUACACAGAGUACUGCCUCGAUCCUGGCAGGUGCUGGAGGAACUGCAUUUCCAGCCCCCUCAGGCCCAACGACUUUGGCUAAGCUGGUGGGACUCUGCUCGCCUGGGCCUGCAGGCAGGUCUCACCGAGGACCGGCUGCAGAGUGCCCUUUCCUAUCUGCACGAGAGCGGCAAGCUGCUCUACUUUGAGGACAGCCCAGCCCUCAAGGAGCAUGUCUUCCACAAUCUCUCCCGCCUCAUUGACAUCCUCAAUGUCUUUUUCCAGAGGGAUCCUUCCUUACUGCUGCAUAAGCUGCUGCUCGGGACCAGCGGAGAGGGUGACAGUGAGGGGGAAAGCUCCCCGCUGAUGGCGCUGCCCUCCUCAAACCAGGAACUGCUCCGGGCCACCCAGCUCCAUCAUUACGUGGAAGGCUUUCUGCUACAUGGGCUCUUGCCAGCCCAUGUCAUUCGGUUGCUGCUUAAACCUCAUGUCCAGGCCCAGCAGGACUUGCAGCUGCUGCUGGAGCUUUUGGAGAAGAUGGGACUCUGUUACUGCCUCAAUAAACCCAAGGGCAAGCCUUUGAAUGGGUCCACAGCCUGGUACAAGUUCCCAUGCUAUGUGCAGAACGAGGUGCCCCAUGCAGAGGCCUGGAUUAACGGGACCAACCUGGCUGGGCAAUCUUUUGUGGCUGAGCAGUUGCAGAUUGAGUACAGUUUUCCCUUCACCUUUCCACCUGGGUUGUUUGCACGUUACAGUGUCCAAAUCAACAGCCAUGUGGUGCACAGGUCUGAUGGCAAACUUCAGAUCGUUGCAUAUAGAGGGAAAGUUCCUGUGGUGGUGAGUUACAGACCUGCCAAGGGGGUCCUGCAGCCAGACACUCUGUCCAUUGCCAGCCAUGCAUCAUUACCAAACAUAUGGACAGCAUGGCAAGCCAUAACCCCCUUGGUAGAGGAACUGAAUGUCCUGCUCCAGGAAUGGCCUGGACUGCACUACACCGUGCACAUUCUCUGUUCUAAGUGCCUUAAGAGAGGGUCGCCCAAUCCACACGCUUUCCCAGGGGAGUUGCUGAGUCAGCCCAGACCAGAAGGAGUGGCAGAGAUCAUUUGCCCCAAGAACGGCAGCGAGCGCGUGAACGUCGCCUUGGUUUACCCACCCACCCCGACUGUGAUCAGCCCCUGUUCCAAGUAUCUCCAUACUUUCUUGGAAAAUUAAGUGGAAAAGAUAGUGCUUCUUUCUCUUACACCAUCAUUUUUACUGUACCCAAUCUGUGACUUUAGGAGCACCAAUUUUUAAGGGAAGAAUGUUGGUGAAAAGCACAGAAACCAGUGACUUUUAUGGCUGUGGAAUUUCCAUGGAGAAAAGAGCAUCCGAACUCACCUGGACCACCAUUCAUACCUGGCAAGCCCUCCACACUCCCACGCGUGUUCCGGGAACUUGAGCGAAUAAACGUUCAGGGUGCUCAGAUGAGGGAGCACACCUGGCCUGUGGGUGAGGAAGGGAGGGGCGGGCAAAGGAGGGGAGAGAAUAUGGAGCAAAUGUUUCACAACCUGAACCUCAGAACUGGUCCUCCAAGGAGAGCACUACUUGAAGAAAAGAGUCGAAUGGCUUCUCAGGGAUUUUGUUUUCCGUGCACAUCUAAGCCAUAGUUCAGUGCAGGUGACAGUGUUGAGGGCACUCAGAUUUCAGUUCUGUUCAAUGUGAAAGGGAUCGACUGACCGUCCAUCGCUGUUCCGUAACUAGUGUAAAAUAUGUAUAUGUUUAUCUUUAUUUUUAUAAUAUGCAAAUACAUUUAAAUUUAUACAGUUUGAAGCUUCUAGCAUUAGUUAACACUGGGUGCAAUAUUCAUUCCACAUGAGAACUGUGCCAAGAUGGGGCUGAUUUCUUCGUAUAGCAUAAGAACCUUUUUGUCUAUUUUUUCUUCUUUAAUCCUAUCUACCCGGGGAUUAAGUGUUGGUUCAUAGAGGUUCCAGUAGUCAGCCAGAACCUUAAAUGUGCAUAUCAGGCCGUGUCCCCUCUCCUCUUCAUUAAAGGCCCCUGCCUGUAAGCCUGGGCAGGGCGGUGGGCUUAUCCCUUCCUUUGACCUCACGUCACUAGUGCCAGGCAGAGUAUUCAGGCUUUGUGUUGACAGGGGGUUGUCACCAGGUGAUAUGCUGAUGGAGGCCUGGUGUUCAGAUGCUUCAGGGGCAGAGUUCAGGGGUGGGGGAAGGGGUCAGUGAGUCUGUGGAAAACCUGGUCUUUUAAUAGCUUCAGAGAAAAGGAGUCAGUUCUGAAGCAGGCAGAGAGCUCUAAGUACUUUUUUAUUUUUGGUAGAACAGAGUUCUCUGAAAUUUUGCAGAGCACUUUGAAAGCCCUCCACAUCUGGCUGUCAGACUUUAAGAUAGCGAGUUGCCUAAUUGGAGAGCAUAAUCCAUUGGUUAUUUAUAAAUACAGAGGCUCUGAUUGGAUGGUCCACCACCAAGAACAAAGUAAAACCCUUGUUUUAAAAUCUCCACCCAGGAAGACUUCAAAGACAAACCAAAACUGCUCUCUCUUCUACUCCUAACUGUGGCCAAACAGCAUUUGCUGCGAGAGUAACACAUUCUUUGAAGAAUGUACAGGACUCUGUUUACAUCUGCCUCCUCUGGGUGUUGAUUGAAAAUGUGUAAACUAACUGUUUCUCACCAGUGUAGGACAAAAAAAGUGAGCCAGCUGGUACCGUUCUUUUACUUCUUUAUAAAGUAUUGACUCCAGGAAUGCCACAUUAUACAAGGUCUCAACAUAUUUUCUAAAAGAAAUAACGAACAAGCCAGCAGCUGCAUUGCAAAAAAUCACCAGAUUUUCGUAGACUAAUUUGUGCCCUGGGAGUCACUAACUCCAGAUCUUCUAGUCAAACAAGUUUGAUUUCUUAGGAUCAUAAAAUUAAAUAGGAUUGGGUGAUUUCUGCAUUUUUAAUUACUUGAAUAUGACGCCUGACAUUUGAGACAUCAGUUGCUCUUCAAACACAGUCACAAGUUAAUCCAGUUAAUAUUUUGUCACAGUUCUCGUGUGUGUGCGUUCAUGUGUGUGCGUGCAUGUAUUGUAUGUGUGUAAAUUGGAUGGGAACAUUUAAUUGCUUUAUGGACCCCCAGAAUUUCAGGGCAUAAAAUUUUUUAAUUGGCAUGAAACAGUUCCGAAACUGCCAAAUUGACCAACUUUGACCCAUCUUUUGAAGACUCUUCAGUGUGUGACUUCACGCUAACUCCCCAGGGGGCCAUAUGAAUGAAAGAAAAAAUAAUUUAAAAAAUAUGCUCCUUUGUGUGACAGUCCCUGCAAAACUUUUCCCGUUAUUAUAAACCCAAAUGCCCGUUUCUUAAUAUCCGCUCUUUUUUCACAAAUGAUGUUUUGUGCUAUCCUCUGAACCCUAGAGAAGCAGUAAAAGAAGAGAUCUUGGUGUCACAUGGCUUUUAGUAGAAAAGGGUCAUCAUGAUAGAGGGUCAUGUGACCAGAACAAGCUCCAGAGAAGCUUGAACAUUGCUUCACGGUGGGGGGAGGGUUGGAGAUACAGAAAAUAACUCUGCUCUACAGGAAUUUUCACCGUCUAUGCAGGAAAUUCCGUUUUCUCUUUCGACACCUGGGAAGACUCAGCCAGCCAACGCUGCCAGGCAACUCACCAAGCACAGGGAAGUGUUUUCCAACCAAGGAUUCCCUUGCCUCACAAACAGACACCCUCCAACUUGGUCAUGGUGUCUAUUCCUGCAACUUGUGAUACCAGAGCCACUUCCUGGAAUUGUAAAAGUGCUGCCAGAAUAAAUGGUUUUCCCCCUUCCAAGAAAAAAGAAUGACCGUGCUCCUAUUUGACACUUAUGCAUUAGACUCUUUUGAAUGAAUAAAAAGGAAAGGGUUUGGUGUCAUUCCUGAUGGGAUGUGUGAUAUUUUUCAUGCCACAGUUUGUGAAUUGUAGUUGUGGUAUCCCAUUUAAUUGUCGUGGCUGGGCAGAAAUUUUUUUUUUAAUUCAAAAAAGUUCAAUAAAAAAAAAAUACAAAGGUGUGGUGAAGCAAUCACAUUUCCA